CCAAAUUCUAUCUGAAGGAUCUGAAGACGUCCAGGGGCCUUCAUGAGGAAAUGAUGAAAGCAGCCAGCAGCAAUGCCAAGCAGGUCAUCGACUGGGUUACGGAGCGGGCCUCUAAGUGACGAGGGAACGAUCACUAGUGGUUUUAGACUGGUUUUAUCGUCACGGCAAACUGCAACCAUCAGUGGAAUGUAGUUUCACCACAGGAAACAUGAGUACAGUCUGUCAGGGUGUGAACGUGUGAUUAGCAUGUUUGUUUGUGUCUUAAGAACCUCAGUGACUGUCAGUUGCCAGGCAGCCAUUCAUUGUAAUUACAUUGUUUGUUUAUGUCUUAAGAACCUCAGUGACUGUCAGUUGCCAGGCAGCCAUUCAUUGUAAUUACAUUGUUUGUUUGUGUCUUAAGAACCUCAGUGACUGUCAGUUGCCAGGCAGCCAUUCAUUGUAAUUACAUUGUUUGUUUAUGUCUUAAGAACCUCAGUGACUG